CUCCCAAAGUGCAGGGAUACAGGCGUGAGCCACCGCGCCAGGCCAAGAUGGAAAUUUUAGUUACUACUGUCACCCGAGUCUUUCUCCGUUUGUUUCCUUGCACAAAAUGGGUAGGGCUGUGGGCCCUCCCAGCUCAGGAGCCCUGGGGUGGUUUUAAGAAGGUAGAACUCCUGGUAGGAACCACCUGCAUCAAGACCAUGGAUCACCUCUCUGAAGGUUAGCGAUUCCAGGGACCCCACCUCCGAGCUGUCCUCCUACGUGGAAGUGAAAGUAUUGGAAACAGGGGAAAGAAGCUGGUCAAAGACAGACUCCAGUCGUGGCGGUGCAUGUCCCAGUUAAAAGCAAAUCCUGGAAAAUCUUGUUCAAGAACAGGGUCCCCAUUCAUAAAUGAAAAAUAAUAAUAGUGUUAUUUUACCCACAUGAAACUUGCCAUAACUAGGUACCACGACCCACAUGGACACACAGUGAGAUUCCCACAAAGAGGCAAAAGGAGAGCCCUGGUCACUGAGACAAAAGAUACAGAGACACCGGGACACAGAGAGGUACAACGGGACGUGGAGUUGGAUCGAGCUGUCUCGUAAGGAAUAUCGGAAGGGGUGGGGACACUACUGGGAGAUGGCAUAGGUCCAGGACACUAAUUAGGCUUUGGCUGAGAUCAGAUAAAGGAAACUGUUCGUAAGCUGCUUACUUAAAAAGAAAGGAAAAGGUGCGUUUGAGUUCAGGAGACUGCGAGUCCCAGAGCAGGAGGCGGGAGCCAGCGAAGGGUGGGCGUGUAAGGGGUGCAGUCGCUUCUCCCGCUGGGCAAGAGACUCCCCCUUUCGGCAGCCUGGGUUCCCCGCCUCCCCACCUCCUGCUCCUCCUCCCCCGAGCCCUAAGGGCCCGCAGGGCCUCCAGUAGCAAAGCCACUGGCCCCGCGUCCCCGCGUCCCCCUGCGCCGCGCCCCGGGGCGCAGGCAGGGACCACGCGGCCGGCGUGGGGGCGGCGCCACCCGCAGCAGAAAGCCCCGGCGUGGACCGCGUGGCGUAGGAAAGCGCUCCCCUCGCCCCCAGCCGCAGAGGGCUUGGGCAGCAUCGGGCGCGGCCCCGGGAGAGUGCGUCCGCGGCGCCAGCGGCUGCAGGGUGACCUGUUUCGGGCGGGGACACUCACCAGAAGAACACGCGUGAGCAGAGGACCAAACGACGGUGCCAUGGGAGGCUCUUCAACCUGUGAGCCAAACAUUUGACCUUGGACGACAGCAAAGUUUAGCCACAGAUUAUCCUUGUAGAGCUGCAAGACCUCAAGAAAGCCGGGUAACUCGAGAGUAUGACCCAGAUGAAUUCGGGAGAUGGAUGAAUGCUGUCGUCGAUGGGGGCGGGCUUUAGGCAUCUCACAUGUUGCAUGCUACGGUGGACCUCUGAGCUUUUUGCUGCCCCCUUAGAUUGGGAAAGGAAUAUAAGAGGAAAGAGAGACUGCCUGAUGAUUUCUGUCGUCAAGCCCUAAAGCCUAACAGAUAACAGUGGCAAACGACACGUGGGUUCCAGAAUACCAGUGAUGUUCAUGUGCAUUUCUGAGCUAGUCAAGUGAAGCAGUGGGAGUGGAAAAGGAGCAAAG
rnacentral:lncRNA from 1 species